GACGAACGCUGGCGGCGUGCUUAACACAUGCAAGUCGAACGGAAAGGCCCUGCUUUUGUGGGGUGCUCGAGUGGCGAACGGGUGAGUAACACGUGAGUAACCUGCCCUUGACUUUGGGAUAACUUCAGGAAACUGGGGCUAAUACCGGAUAGGAGCUCCUGCUGCAUGGUGGGGGUUGGAAAGUUUCGGCGGUUGGGGAUGGACUCGCGGCUUAUCAGCUUGUUGGUGGGGUAGUGGCUUACCAAGGCUUUGACGGGUAGCCGGCCUGAGAGGGUGACCGGCCACAUGGGGACUGAGAUACGGCCCAGACCCCUACGGGAGGCAGCAGGGGGGAAUAUUGCACAAGGGGCGGAAGCCUGAUGCAGCAACGCCGGGUGCGGGAUGACGGCCUUCGGGUUGUAAACCGCUUUCGCCUGUGACGAAGCGUGAGUGACGGUAAUGGGUAAAGAAGCACCGGCUAACUACGU
rnacentral:rRNA from 1 species